GGAGGCCCCGCCUCCCUCUUUGCUCGAUUGCUUCAGGAGGCUGUGAGAAGGUUUGGAAAUGGCCCCCAAGGACUCUUGCCUCCUGGUAUUCACCUGCUGUGGGGUCCUCUCCUAGAGUGAACAUGGAUGACGUGCAUUACGGAUGGGAUAGUGUGGAAGUUAUGGAGUAUGUCUUUUGAGGUUAAGUCAUAAAAGACAUUGCUAUUUCCACAUUUAUUUCUCAUGCAUUACUUACCUGGGAGAAGCCAACUGCCACUUUGGUGUUGGGACUCAAGGAGCCCCAAGGAGACCUCCGCGUGAGGCAGAAAUGAGGCCUUCAGUCAGCAGCCAGCACCAGCUCUUGCAGCCUCUUGGAAUCCAAUCCCCUUGUUGUCAGAUGACUGCAAUCCUCGUCCAUACCUUGACUGCGACCUGGUGAAAGACCUCAAGUCAGAAUCACUGAGGAGGCGGAUGCGAGACCCUGCCCGAGCCUCUAGUGCUCCCGCCCCCCCGGCCAGAUACCGCGAUGAGUGAGCGACCAAUGCGAG